GCUGGGCGUGGUGGCGCACGCCUGUAGUCCGAGCUACUUGGGAGGCUGAGGUGGGAGAAUCACUUGAACCCGGGAGGUGGAAGUUGUAGUGAGCGGAGAUCACACCACUGCACUCCAUCCUGGGUGAUAGAGUGAGACCUUGUCUU
ensembl:misc_RNA Metazoa_SRP Metazoan signal recognition particle RNA